rnacentral:rRNA from 1 species
GCUUACGGCCAUACCACCUUAGGCACGCCCGAUCUCGUCUGAUCUCGGAAGUUAAGCAGGGUCGGGCCUGGUUAGUACUUGGAUGGGUUACCGCCUGGGAAUACCAGGUGCUGUAAGCA